GGGUGAGUAACGCGUGGGAACGUGCCCUUUGCUACGGAAUAGUCCUGGGAAACUGGGGGUAAUACCGUAUACGCCCUUUUGGGGAAAGAUUUAUCGGCGAAGGAUCGGCCCGCGUUGGAUUAGGUAGUUGGUGGGGUAAUGGCCUACCAAGCCGACGAUCCAUAGCUGGUUUGAGAGGAUGAUCAGCCACACUGGGACUGAGACACGGCCCAGACUCCUACGGGAGGC
rnacentral:rRNA from 1 species